rnacentral:miRNA from 1 species
GAUAUUGGACGUCAUAAACACGAUCAACUUAGAUGUUUAUGACGUCGAUAUUCGACAUCAUAAACACGAUCAACUUUGGUGUUUAUGACGUGGAUAUUCGACGUCUUUAACACGAUCAACUUUGGUGUUUAUGACGUCCAUAUUCGACGUUAUAAACACGAUCAACUUUGGUGUUGAUGACGUCGAUAUUCGACGUCUUAAACACGAUCAACUUUGGUGUUUAUGACGACGAUAGUCGACGUCUUAAACACGAUCAACUUUGGUGUUUAUGACGUCGACGUC